rnacentral:rRNA from 1 species
ACUCAAAGGAAUUGACGGGGGCCCGCACAAGCGGUGGAGCAUGUGGUUUAAUUCGAUGCAACGCGAAGAACCUUACCUACUCUUGACAUCCAGGGAAUCUUGUAGAGAUACGAGAGUGCCUUCGGGAACCUUGAGACAGGUGCUGCAUGGCUGUCGUCAGCUCGUGUCGUGAGAUGUUGGGUUAAGUCCCGUAACGAGCGCAACCCCUAUCCUUAGUUACCAGCGAGUAAAGUCGGGGACUUUAAGGAGACUGCUAGUGCAAGCUAGAGGAAGGUGGGGAUGACGUCAAGUCAUCAUGGCCUUUAUGAGUAGGGCUACACACGUGCUACAAUGGGCGGUACAGAGGGAAGCGAAACCGUGAGGUGAAGCCAAUCCCAAAAAACCGUUCGUAGUCCGGAUUGGAGUCUGCAACUCGACUCCAUGAAGCUGGAAUCGCUAGUAAUCGCGAAUCAGCAUGUCGCGGUGAAUACGUUCCCGGGCCUUGUACACACCGCCCGU